AUACGUAGGUGGCAAGCGUUAUCCGGAUUUACUGGGUGUAAAGGGCGCGUAGGCGGGGAUGCAAGUCAGAUGUGAAAUCUAUGGGCUUAACCCAUAAACUGCAUUUGAAACUGUAUCUCUUGAGUGUCGGAGAGGUAGAUGGAAUUCCUUGUGUAGCGGUGAAAUGCGUAGAUAUAAGGAAGAACACCAGUGGCGAAGGCGAUCUACUGGACGAUAACUGACGCUGAGGCGCGAAAGCGUGGGGAGCAAACAGGAUUAGAUACCCUGGUAGUCCACGUUGUAAACGAUGAAUACUAGGUGUGGGGGGACUGACCCCUUCCGUGCCGCAGUUAACACAAUAAGUAUUCCACCUGGGGAGUACGGCCGCAAGGCUGAAACUCAAAGGAAUUGACGGGG
rnacentral:rRNA from 1 species